GACGAACGCUGGCGGCGUGCCUAACACAUGCAAGUGGAGCGACGAACCAGGCUUCGGCCUGGGGCAAAGCCGCGAACGGGUGAGUAACACGUGGGUAACCUGCCCUGAUGAUUGGGACAACCCGAGGAAACUCGGGCUAAUACCAAAUGUGCCCUUCGGCCAUAAGGCCGCCGGGGAAAGGAAGCUUCGGCCUCCGCAUCUGGAUGGGCCCGCGGCCCAUUAGCUUGUUGGUGAGGUAACGGCUCACCAAGGCGACGAUGGGUAGCUGGUCUGAGAGGACGAUCAGCCACACUGGGACUGAGACACGGCCCAGACUCCUACGGGAGGCAGCAGUGGGGAAUCUUGCGCUAAUGCGCGAAAGCGUGACGCAGCGACGCCGCGUGGGGAUGAAGGCCUCGG
rnacentral:rRNA from 1 species